GAUGAACGCUAGCGGGAGGCUUAAUACAUGCAAGUCGAGCGGCAAGUUUUGAUAGCAAUAUUGGAACCUAGAGCGGCGCACGGGUGAGUAACGCGUACAUGACCUGCCCUAUACUGGGGGAUAGUCUUGGGAAACUGAGAAUAAUCCCGCAUGUGAUUAGAAUGCUGCAUGGCAAAUUAUUAAAGCUGAGGCGGUAUAGGAUGGGUGUGCGUCUGAUUAGCUAGUUGGUAGUGUAACGGCCCACCAAGCCGACGAUCUGUAGCUGGUCUGAGAGGACGACCAGCCACACUGGGACUGAGACACGGCCCAGACUCCUACGGAGGCAGCAGUGGGGAAUUUUGGACAAUGGGCGCAAGCCUGAUCCAGCAAUGCCGCGUGCAGGAUGAAGG
rnacentral:rRNA from 1 species